GGCAAGGUGGCCGAGCGGUCUAAGGCGCCAGGUUCAGGACUUACCUGAAUUUCCCAUCUAGUAAUAGACAACUUCCUGGUCUGAGAAAUUAGGCGUGGGUUCGAAUCCCACCCUUGUCA